ACGAACGCUGGCGGCGUGCUUAACACAUGCAAGUCGAACGGAAAGGCCCUGCUUUUGUGGGGUGCUCGAGUGGCGAACGGGUGAGUAACACGUGAGUAACCUGCCCUUGACUUUGGGAUAACAUCAGGAAACUGGGGCUAAUACCGGAUAGGAGCUCCUGCUGCAUGGUGGGGGUUGGAAAGUUUCGGCGGUUGGGGAUGGACUCGCGGCUUAUCAGCUUGUUGGUGGGGUAGUGGCUUACCAAGGCUUUGACGGGUAGCCGGCCUGAGAGGGUGACCGGCCACAUUGGGACUGAGAUACGGCCCAGACUCCUACGGGAGGCAGCAGUGGGGAAUAUUGCACAAUGGGCGGAAGCCUGAUGCAGCAACGCCGCGUGCGGGAUGACGGCCUUCGGGUUGUAAACCGCUUUCGCCUGUGACGAAGCGUGAGUGACGGUAAUGGGUAAAGAAGCACCGGCUAACUACGUG
rnacentral:rRNA from 1 species